CAGGGAGACAACAAAAUGUUUAAUAUUAUUAUUUUGUCACCUUAGGUCGAUCGGUAUCUCACGUUUUUAAUUUAUUAAGAAUUUCAUUUCCUAAGUUUUUCUAGGUCACACCCAUUAUUUUUCCUGGGCCAUUAGCUCAGGUGGUUAGAGCGCACCCCUGAUAAGGGUGAGGUCCCUGGUUCAAGUCCAGGAUGGCCCAUAUCUCUAUGUUGGGGGUAUAGCUCAGUUGGUAGAGCGCCUGCUUUGCAAGCAGGAUGUCAGCGGUUCGAGUCCGCUUACCUCCACUGAUCACCACCUCUUCCAUAACCGGUAGAAAGGAAAUUUUUUGAGUUGUGAUCAAAUUCUGAAAGAAUCUAGCUUCCUAAUGAAAUCAUUAAGAUGCUGGACUCAUUGAAUUAAUUUCAUUGUUUUCAGAGAACCUUGACAACUGCAUAGAUUAUUUUUAAAGACAACAAGCAUCUUUAAUGAUGCAGAUUUAUUAUUUGUGCAAAUGCAUUAAUAACAAUUCUAUUAAGCUGAUGCUUCAAUAUUUGAAGUUAUU
rnacentral:tRNA from 1 species